rnacentral:rRNA from 1 species
AUACGGAGGGUGCAAGCGUUAUCCGGAAUCAUUGGGUUUAAAGGGUCCGUAGGCGGGCUAAUAAGUCAGGGGUGAAAUCCCACAGCUUAACUGUGGAACUGCCCUUGAUACUGUUGGUCUUGAGCUACAGUGAAGUGGUUAGAAUGUGUAGUGUAGCGGUGAAAUGCAUAGAGAUUACACAGAAUACCGAUUGCGAAGGCAGAUCACUAACUGUAUACUGACGCUAAUGGACGAAAGCGUGGGGAGCGAACAGGAUUAGAAACCCCAGUAGUCC